rnacentral:rRNA from 1 species
UACGUAGGGUGCGAGCGUUAAUCGGAAUUACUGGGCGUAAAGCGUGCGCAGGCGGUUUUGUAAGCCAGAUGUGAAAUCCCCGGGCUCAACCUGGGAAUGGCAUUUGGGACUGCAAGGCUUGAGUGCGGCAGAGGAGACUGGAAUUCCUGGUGUAGCAGUGAAAUGCGUAGAUAUCAGGAGGAAUACCGAUGGCGAAGGCAGGUCUCUGGGCUGACACUGACGCUCAUGCACGAGAGCGUGGGGAGCAAACAGG